UUCCUGUGCUGCAGAGAUUAGAAAGCAAAGAAAUAUAGCCCGUGAAUUCACAGCAGCUGAAUUCUCACACAGCUAUGUGUGAUUUAGAUUUCUAUCAGCAGAUGUAUUCAUAAGAGAUCUGAAUUGAAAACUGAAUUAAAAUAAGGAAGAGACAAGAAAGGUCAGAGAAAAAAAAAGAGACCGACAGAGAUAAAGAAAAGGAUACGAGAGCUGAAAUUCCCGGUCCUGUGGCUCACGUCCCGCGAGAAAGAGCGAGCCGCCCGCCGCCUGGGCGCGCCCGUCCCCGCAGCAGGCGCAGGAGCCCGUGCCCUGUCGCUCCGCGCAGCCGGGCUGUGGGGCCCAGGGCCGCCCCGGCGCGCAGACCACUGGCCCGUGAUGCAAGGACGCAGGUGAGGCCCCUUCCCCCGCGCCCCGCCCCCCGCCCCCCGCCGGCUCCUGCGGCCGAGGCCGGCGCCCUGCGCCCUGCGAGGAGGCCCAGGCCCCCCAGGCCCCGCAGCCGCGGCCCCGGGCGCUGGCUCCCUCCUCACGGCCGGGAAGGGCCCCGCCUGCCGGUCCCUCGGUGUGGCCGCCGCGGCUCCUGACACCCCGGUGCCGGCAGCGAGGCCGCGGCGUGCCGCCCACAGAACCGCGCGAGCGUAGGUUUGUCUCUCCUCGUUUCCUUGUGCCGCGGAAGACAUCUUGUUUUAGGGCCUCCAUCUUUACUUUGGAGGCAAGAAUGCAGAAGUAAAUAGAGGAGCACAUCACAUCACAUCACAUCACAUCACAUCACAUCACAUGACCCCGAGGUGAUGACAUGACUUCAUUGCCGCCGCGUCUUGCGGACCUUCAAAGAAAACCUGCUCCGAAUGACGGGAAUGACGGGCCGUGCGAAUAACACGAAGCCACGAGCGCGCUUUCUGGAUUUAUGCCGC
rnacentral:lncRNA from 12 species